AGAAUCAACGCUGGCGGCGUGCCUAACACAUGCAAGUCGAACGAGAAAGUGGAGCAAUCCAUGAGUAAAGUGGCGCACGGGUGAGUAACACGUGACUAACCUACCCUUGAGUGGGGGAUAACCUAGGGAAACCUGGGCUAAUACCGCAUAAUACCUUCGGGUCAAAGGAGCAAUUCGCUUAAGGAGGGGUCGCGGCCGAUUAGUUAGUUGGCGGGGUAAUGGCCCACCAAGACUGUGAUCGGUAU
rnacentral:rRNA from 1 species